rnacentral:tRNA from 3 species
GCCGAAGUGGCGGAAUUGGUAGACGCGCACGACUCAAAAUCGUGUUCCGCAAGGAGUAAGGGUUCGAUUCCCUUCUUCGGCACCA